UGACCUCGGAUCAGGUAGGGAUACCCGCUGAACUUAAGCAUAUCAAUAAGCGGAGGAAAAGAAACCAACAGGGAUUGCCUCAGUAACGGCGAGUGAAGCGGCAACAGCUCAAAUUUGAAAUCUGGCUCUUCUAGGGUCCGAGUUGUAAUUUGUAGAAGAUGCUUUGGGAACGGUUCCGGUCUAAGUUCCUUGGAACAGGACGUCAUAGAGGGUGAGAAUCCCGUAUGCGACUGGUCGCCCGCCCCGUGUAAAGCUCUUUCGACGAGUCGAGUUGUUUGGGAAUGCAGCUCAAAAUGGGUGGUAAAUUUCAUCUAAAGCUAAAUAUUGGCCAGAGACCGAUAGCGCACAAGUAGAGUGAUCGAAAGAUGAAAAGCACUUUGGAAAGAGAGUUAAACAGUACGUGAAAUUGUUGAAAGGGAAGCGCUUGCAACCAGACUUGCACGUAGUUAAUCAUCUGGUGUUCUCACCGGUGCACUUGGCUAUGUUCAGGCCAGCAUCGGUUCAGGUGGUGGGAUAAAGGCCCUGGGAAUGUAGCUUCUUUCGGGGAGUGUUAUAGCCCUCGGUGCAAUGCCGCCUACCUGGACCGAGGACCGCGCUUCGGCUAGGAUGCUGGCGUAAUGGUUGUAAGCGACCCGUCUUGAAACACGGACCAAGGAGUCUAACAUCUAUGCGAGUGUUUGGGUGUCAAACCCAUACGCGUAAUGAAAGUGAACGGAGGUGAGAACCCUUAAGGGUGCAUCAUCGACCGAUCCUGAUGUCUUCGGAUGGAUUUGAGUAAGAGCAUAGCUGUUGGGACCCGAAAGAUGGUGAACUAUGCCUGAAUAGGGUGAAGCCAGAGGAAACUCUGGUGGAGGCUCGCAGCGGUUCUGACGUGCAAAUCGAUCGUCAAAUUUGGGUAUAGGGGCGAAAGACUAAUCGAACCAUUUGCUACUAGGUGGUCAAGAGGCGUGCCAAAGGUGCCGUCCUAGCUCUGUGCAAUGAGCAAUAUCGUCAAAUUGCGGGGACCUCCUGUUAACAUUCAACGCUACCGCCACUCCGUCGAAAGUCGAGUCGGCACCAGGGUAAUGACCUCGGGCAUGGUAAUAACGCGUUGUAUAUACGGAAAAUCCGCAGCAAAGCUCCUAAGGGCAGGCCCUACGGAGGAUGUCCACAGACUAAAUGAUGAUGAGUAUCGUGAACACGGUGCUUAAGAUAUAGUCGAUCCCCCGGGAGACCGGGCCUUAGAUUCCUAAGGGAGACGCCAACGUCUCGGGGAAGCAACUGU
rnacentral:rRNA from 1 species